UACGGAAGGUCCGGGCGUUAUCCGGAUUUAUUGGGUUUAAAGGGAGCGCAGGCUGGAGGUUAAGCGUGACGUGAAAUGUAGCCGCUCAACGGCUGCACUGCGUCGCGAACUGGCCUUCUUGAGUGAGUGCGACGUCAGCGGAAUUCGUGGUGUAGCGGUGAAAUGCUUAGAUAUCACGAAGAACCCCGAUUGCGAAGGCAGCUGACGAGUCCUUAACUGACGCUAAAGCUCGAAGGUGCGGGUAUCGAAC
rnacentral:rRNA from 1 species